UGGGGAAUCUUGGACAAUGGGCGCAAGCCUGAUCCAGCCAUGCCGCGUGAGUGAAGAAGGCCUUCGGGUUGUAAAGCUCUUUUACCAGGGACGAUAAUGACGGUACCUGGAGAAUAAGUCCCGGCAAACUUCGUGCCAGCAGCCGCGGUAAUACGAAGGGGGCUAGCGUUGUUCGGAAUUACUGGGCGUAAAGCGCACGUAGGCGGAUUGUUAAGUCAGAGGUGAAAUCCCGGAGCUCAACUUCGGAACUGCCUUUGAUACUGGCAAUCUCGAGUCCGGAAGAGGUUAGUGGAAUUCCCAGUGUAGAGGUGAAAUUCGUAGAUAUUGGGAAGAACACCAGUGGCGAAGGCGGCUAACUGGUCCGGUACUGACGCUGAGGUGCGAAAGCGUGGGGAGCAAACAGGAUUAGAUACCCCCGUAGUCCCUGAGCGGGCUGGCAAGGCGCAU
rnacentral:rRNA from 1 species